rnacentral:rRNA from 1 species
AACGAACGCUGGCGGCAGGCCUAACACAUGCAAGUCGAGCGAGCAUUUCGGUGCUAGCGGCGGACGGGUGAGUAACGCGUGGGAACGUGCCCUUUUCUGCGGAAUAGUCCUGGGAAACUGGGGGUAAUACCGCAUACGCCCUUUUGGGGAAAGAUUUAUCGGAGAAGGAUCGGCCCGCGUUGGAUUAGGUAGUUGGUGGGGUAAUGGCCCACCAAGCCGACGAUCCAUAGCUGGUUUGAGAGGAUGAUCAGCCACACUGGGACUGAGACACGGCCCAGACUCCUACGGGAGGCAGCAGUGGGGAAUCUUAGAAAAUGGGGGCAACCCUGAUCUAGCCAUGCCGCGUGAGUGAUGAAGGCCUUAGGGUUGUAAAGCUCUUUCAGCUGGGAAGAUAAUGACGGUACCAGCAGAAGAAGCCCCGGCUAACUCCGUG